UGCUUGGCGACAAUAGCGCUGUGGUACCACCUGAUCCCAUGCCGAACUCAGAAGUGAAACGCAGCUGCGCCGAUGAUAGUGUGGGGUCUCCCCAUGCGAAAGUAGGUCAUCGCCAAGCGC
rnacentral:rRNA from 1 species